CCUCUUAGCACGUCAGCUCGCAGGUCCCUGACGAAGGGCCCUGGGCCCUGCAGGUCAGCCGGUCCCUGUUGUGCGAAGACGAGGCUUCCCAAGCAAGCAAUCAGCAAGAACUUCAUGGCUGUGGGAAAUAUGAUCACACCAACUGAAAAUACGUGAUGU